GGGUCCCAGUUCCGAACCCGUCG
rnacentral:snRNA from 1 species